rnacentral:rRNA from 1 species
CGGCGGACGGGUGAGUAAUGCCUAGGAAUCUGCCUGGUAUGGGGGACAACGUUUCGAAAGGAACGCUAAUACCGCAUACGUCCUACGGGAGAAAGCAGGGGACCUUCGGGCCUUGCGCUAUCAGAUGAGCCUAGGUCGGAUUAGCUAGUUGGUGAGGUAAUGGCUCACCAAGGCGACGANCCGUAACUGGUCUGAGAGGAUGAUCAGUCACACUGUAACUGAGACACGGUCCAGACUCCUACGGGAGGCAGCAGGG